rnacentral:tRNA from 1 species
GGCCUUAUGGUCCACCGGUUACGACUUCUCUCUUUCACAGAGAUAACAAGGGUUCAAGCCCCUCUAGGGGUA